rnacentral:rRNA from 1 species
GAUGAACGCUGGCGGCGUGCUUAAUACAUGCAAGUCGAACGGACAGGCCCUGCUCUUGCGGGGUGCUCGAGUGGCGAACGGGUGAGUAACACGUGAGUAACCUGCCCUUGACUUUGGGAUAACUCCAGGAAACUGGGGCUAAUACCGGAUAGGAGCUCCUGAUGCAUGGUGGGGGUUGGAAAGUUUCGGCGGUUCGGGAUGGACUCGCGGCUUAUCAGCUUGUUGGUGGGGUAGUGGCUUACCAAGGUUUUGACGGGUAGCCGGCCUGAGAGGGUGACCGGCCACAUUGGGACUAAGAUACGGCCCAGACUCCUACGGGAGGCAGCAGUGGGGAAUAUUGCACAAUGGGCGGAAGCCUGAUGCAGCGACGCCGCGUGCGGGAUGACGGCCUUCGGGUUGUAAACCGCUUUCGCCUGUGACGAAGCGUGAGUGACGGUAAUGGGUAAGAAAGCACCGGCUAACUACGUG